GCCUGGGUGGCUCAGUUGUUAAGCAUCUGACUUCGGCUCAGGUCAUGAUCUCGUGGUUUGUGAGUUCAAGUCUCAAAUCUGUGAGCUCGAACCCCACUUCAGGUG
rnacentral:tRNA from 1 species